UACGGGGGGGAGCAAGCGUUGUUCGGAUUUACUGGGCGUAAAGGGCGCGUAGGCGGCCAGCACAAGUCAGUUGUGAAAUCUCCGAGCUUAACUCGGAACGGUCAACUGAUACUGUGCGGCUAGAGUGCAGAAGGGGCAACUGGAAUUCUUGGUGUAGCGGUGAAAUGCGUAGAUAUCAAGAGGAACACCGAUGGCGAAGGCAGUUCUCUGGGCCGUAACUGACGCUGAGGAGCGAAAGCGUGGGGGGCGAAC
rnacentral:rRNA from 1 species